CUAAAACUAGAGAGGAUCUAGGAACUGGAGCUGCUGCCUCUGUCUGCUAAGAUGUGAAGUCCAAGACUGAAAGUAACAUAGCAGAAGGAGAACCAAAAGAGGUGUUGAGUCUUGAUGGUAUUUGUUGAACCAGUCCUGAAUCCAGCUGUGUUGGAGUCAGUGCAGCUUUUAAAGCUGGAGAGCAUCAUAUUUUAGAAAGAUCAAGCAAUGUGGAUGAGGACACAUUAAAAAGAGAAGACCUGGAGGAGGGGACACCACUCAGGGUUAUAACCUCCAGCUCACAUUUCAGCACCAAAGGACCAAAGCCUAGAUCUGAGAUCUUGCACUUGCAAAAAGGAAGAUCACCUGGAAGAACAAAAUAGAAGACUCCUGCUUCCAAUAGGCUUGGGUCAGGAAGAAGGCUGUUGGCAUAAUUGUGGAGUAGGAAGAUGGAAAACAACUCCCAGAGAUCCCAACAGCUGCACGCAUGCUUGGGCAGUGGCUGCAGGUGAAGUUGUGGGAAAGCAAGUCAUGAAGGGCAUUAAUCAAGGUUAUUUUUUCCACAGACGCAUUUCUGAUCCUAAAUAAUAAUUUACAUGAAUUCACAUGUUUUUGAUCUAGGGAAUUAUAUCGGUGGCACUAGAGAUGUAAAUGAGAUCUGUUAGUGAGCAGUGAGAAUGCGUGGAAAGAAAAAUCUAAAACUAGUGUGGAGAAUGAACUUCUUGGAGGGGCAAACAGAGACUGGAAGUAGAGCAGUGAACGACAGUCCUCUGCAUGUGUGGAGAUGGCUGGCAAAGCUGGAGAAGUGGCUGAAGUCCUUGGGAGUGUGAAGAGAGGAUGGCCAAGGAUGGAGCCCUGAGGAAUCUCAACAACCAAAGGGCAGGUGA
rnacentral:antisense_RNA from 1 species